CAUUUUAACCAUUAUAUAUAUUAUAUUGCCUUAUUAUUCAUUUAACCAUGCAUCUCUCAUCUGAUAUUUGUUCCUUUAAUUUUCCGGCCGAUUUCAUCCUGCAUGCUAGCUAGCUUUUUAUGUUGAUUGAUUAUAGGUUUUGGCCUGGUUUAAUGAUCUGUGCGCAGGCCGAGUGAAUGAAGAUCGAUGAAGCAAAGGUCGGAAAGCAAUAACAACUUAAACUGAUUUACCUCUUGUGUUUAGAAUUAGAAAACAGGUUUCAUCUGAAACGUACCUUCAAGCUAUUAGGAUCAAGAACUUGAUCGAUCUGGCAGAUCUUAUAUAAAUAGCAAUCAAGGAACCAACUGAGCUAUAUAAACUAUCUUCUCCAGAAAUAUUGUCGCCAAAGGGCUCACUCGCAAACUGCAUUUGAUCAGCAUUAAUUUCUUGACAAAUAAUGUCGUCAAAAAAUUGGGACGACAUCAACAAUUGUUCUUCUCCGCCAUGUGCUAAAUGUAGUGGAGAGUACAAUAAUGAGCUGUUAUCUUCAUUCCCCGCCGCCGCAAUAAGAACAUGAUUCUCGGAACUAGGAUAAUUCCAUCCCUCAUUCUCAGCAAAAGAAAGGCAGCAUCUAUUAUACCACUUUUGAUGAGAUUUAGCAGUCUUGUUCCAUCUUUUUGGUCGUCCUCUUUUCUUCAGUUGCGUAUCAAGAAGUCUAACUUUCUGUAAAUUAAAUAUAAUUGUACAGUUAAACCAAAGUCUAAUAUAUUUCAUUCUUUUUCUUUAUCUGAUAUGAUUACGAAAGAGAAAAUAGAAGGAUUUAACUCAUGAUAGUACGUAGUGAAUUACCUGAAGGUGACUGGAAACAUUUGCCCUCGUUAACCCUGGAACGUAAGCGACCAUUUGCUUCCAAAUUUUACUGGGCACAGCCUCUGUAUAUAUGUGUCAUAUGUUUUUUUUUAAAUAAUUAUAAUAUGCUAUGCUAUAAGUGUUUUAAUGGAAUUAGUAGAGAAAUUUAAAAA